rnacentral:rRNA from 1 species
GUGCAGCAGUCGCGAAACUUUACAAUGUGCGAAAGCACGAUAAGGGAACUCUGAGUGCCUCCUAAGGAGGCUGUUCAGGUGUCUAAAAGCACCUGAAGGAAGGGCUGGGUAAGACCGGUGCCAGCCGCCGCGGUAACACCGGCAGCCCAAGUGGUAGCCACGUUUAUUGGGUCUAAAGCGUCCGUAGCCGGCUGGGUAAGUUCCUUGGGAAAUUUGGCUGCUUAACAGUCAAGCUUUCAGGGAAUACUGCCCGGCUUGGGACCGGGAGAGGUCAGAGGUACUCCAGGGGUAGGGGUGAAAUCCAUUAAUCCUUGGGGGACCACCGGUAGCGAAGGCGUCUGACCAGACCGGGUCCGACGGUGAGGGACGAAGGCUAGGGGCGCGAACCGGAUUAGAUACCCC